rnacentral:misc_RNA from 1 species
GACGGAAGAUGGACGCCAUUUAUCCCCUACAGGCUUGCCGAUGUUGAUGUAGCCGUUCUCGAUGCGAGUGGGGCAACUGUCACGCUCAGCAAGGAACUGCGUAACAUUGGCACGCAUAUCGGCAACACGCUUCACGAUCCAACGAGCAACCAACUCCUGGUUCUCAACGACGAGGCCCUCAACGAUGUUCGCUUCGAACCAAAUCUGCGCGGCCGUUUUCUCAAUACGCGCAUCUCGCUCGUCAAUCUUGUAAAUUCAGUUGCCACUCCGGUCGAUCUUAAUCA